CCCCCAGGCGGGCACGUCUGUGCCCUCCAAGACCCGCAAAUGAAGCAGAGCACCCACCCCAGUACAUGGCCUCUGUACACUGGACAGCCCGUCCUCCGGCGUCAACGUCGUCGUCAGAUCUAUUUUCUGCUUCAGCCUCACCACUCAGAAUUUCUGAGAGUAGCCCUGCUUCAGCCUGGGCCCUCGCUGUGGGCCCGUGAACAGGGCAGCCAGCUCUCUGGGCCUGGUGUCUGGGGACCACAGAGGACUCCUUCCCCUGCCUGGAGACACAGGUUGGACCAUUCGGAGGGCUCCUGGCACGGGUCGGAGCUGCUGCCGGCCUCUCACCCUCUCUAGCACUGGGUCCCGAGAGGCCCUGGGUGGGAGAGCUGGGUGACCCGGCACCGAGAGGAUCACAGCAGUGGACCAGGGCUGUGGGGCGCAGGGGCCAGAUUCUUUGUUGUCAUCCUUGGCUCCUAGAAGUCAUGCCCAAGAGGAUGUGCACUCUGGAAGCCUGCUUCACACCAGGGUCUGGGACCCCUUCAUACAGAAGGGAUGAGGAAGGCCAGUCCCACUGCCCUAGGGACACUUCAGCUCCAGGGAUCCGGGAUGGGGGGGCCAAGGCUGCCAGGAGGUGAGGAGUCCCAGGCACCUGGGUGGGAAAUGGGGACACCCAGGUUCCCGUCAGCUCUUCUCACCAGGCCCUGAAUCUAUAGGGAGGCAGGGGAGGUCAUUCCAGUGACUGAAUGGGGACAAGACCCUGGGCAGGGCAGGGCAGGGCUGGGCAGGCAGCGUGUGACAGGUAUGUUAUUCCUGAGGCCCAAGAAAGAGUCAGUGAGGGUCCAGGGGACUCUCCCCACCUGAUCCCCAAUUCACAUGCCCUUUGUCCCCCACUCUUCUCCAUGCACCCCAUUCGAUCACUUACUCUUUGGGCAAAUAUUUAUUGAGCACUACUAUGUGCCAGCACCAUUCCAGGUUCCCAGGUAAAACCCCAGUCCAGAGAGAAGGGCGGCAGUGACCCAGAAAACAAACCUUGCCUUAAAGAAUGAGGGUGCUGGAGGAAGCAGGGGCCAGCUGCAGUGUAGGUGGACAGGGCUCCUCAAUGGAAGGUGGCAGAAGGCUCAUGACCCUCCCUCCAGCCAGGAUCACUGGCACAUGCCUAUAAUCCCAGCAACUCUGGAGGCUGAGGCAGGAGGAUUGCAGGUUCGAGGCCAGCCUCAGCAACUUAGUAAGAUCCUAUCUCAAGAUAAAAAUAAAAAUGACUGGCCUCCUCCA
rnacentral:lncRNA from 1 species